rnacentral:rRNA from 1 species
AUUGAACGCUGGCGGCGUGCUUAACACAUGCAAGUCGAACGGUGAAGCAGGAGCUUGCUCCUGUGGAUCAGUGGCGAACGGGUGAGUAACACGUGAGCAAUCUGCCCUGGACUCUGGGAUAAGCGUUGGAAACGACGUCUAAUACCGGAUACGAGGCGUGGGGGCAUCCCCAACGCCUGGAAAGAACUUCGGUCCAGGAUGAGCUCGCGGCCUAUCAGGUAGUUGGUGAGGUAACGGCUCACCAAGCCUACGACGGGUAGCCGGCCUGAGAGGGUGGCCGGCCUCACUGGGACUGAGACACGGCCCAGACUCCUACGGGAGGCAGCAGUGGGGAAUAUUGCACAAUGGGCGCAAGCCUGAUGCAGCAACGCCGCGUGAGGGACGACGGCCUUCGGGUUGUAAACCUCUUUCAGCAGGGACGAAGCGCAAGUGACGGUACCUGCAGAAGAAGCACCGGCCAACUACGUGCCAGCAGCCGCCGUAAGAC